UUAUUUAUAUGCCGUCAUUUAAUUUGUCUCUUUUGGGGAAACCUUAAAAAGAAGUUAAUUUUCAUUUAAUUUGAUGUCCCCAUAUGUCUGGAAACUUUUGCUUGAUACGCUUUAAAGCGUAAUAGACUCUAAGCGCCUUUACACCAUAUUAUGAGUGCUUCAAGUUAUUACAGGAGCUCUAAACUUCAAAUUGUCGAGGGCGUUUAAGUAUCCACGCCUUUUCAUCCCAAGAAAAAGGCAAAACAGCUGUACUUGUGUCCAAGGACAAUACAUGCGAAAAAAGAAUUGAGAAAAGAGUACUUAUACUCUGAAUAUUCUACCGGCCAGAGUACUCCAACACGAAAUACCGAAAGCGGGUCAGUGUUAUAGAGCUGGACAAUGAAGGACAUACGCAGAAAUGCGCUUGCCUUGGUGGUGUUAUGUGGAAUUGUUGUUAGUCUGGUUCAUCAAAGUGAGGCAGGGCUUGGAUUUAUUCCAUCAGGAUCGGGCAAGAAGAAAAGCAUUCAGUAUUCUAAUGUGCAAACACAGAUGGAAGGCAUCACAAAAACAAUUUGCGCCGCGGCGAGAGAAUUGGACUGCUAUCAGUCGCUAAAAGGAAGAUCAACACAACAGCGACAAGAAAACGAACAGUAGUUGAAAUUAACAAAAUCAAAUAAAUUAAAUUAUUGUUUAGUUCA